rnacentral:rRNA from 1 species
UCGCCUGUUUAUCAAAAACAUGGUUUCCUGAUAUUUUUAAGAAAUUUGACCUGCCCACUGAAUUUAUUUGAAGGGCCGCAGUAUUUUGACUGUGCAAAGGUAGCAUAAUCAUUAGUCUUUUAAUUAAGGGCUAGUAUGAAUGGUUGGACGAGGUGAAUUCUGUUUUAUGUUAAUUUAAGUUGAAUUUAGUUUUUGAGUAAAAAGACUUAAAUAUUAUUAAGGGACGAGAAGACCCUAUAGAGUUUAAUAUAUGUAAUAAUUAAUUAAGUUAUAAUUUAAUUUUUGAUUAUUAUGCAAUUUAUUUAAUUGGGGUGAUUAAGAGAUAUAUAAAACUCUUUUUAAAUGUUAAUAAUAUAUUUAGUUAUAUGAUCCAUAAUUAAUGAUUAGAAGAUUAAAUUACCUUAGGGAUAACAGCAUAAUUUCUUUUAAGAGUUCAUAUUGAAAAAGGAGAUUGUGACCUCGAUGUUGGAUUAAGAUUAGUUUUGGGUGCAGAUGUUCAAUAACUAGGUCUGUUCGACCUUAAAAUUCUUACAUGAUCUGAGUU